rnacentral:lncRNA from 14 species
AUCUUAGGCACGUCCCACUAGACAAACAGGGCGUUGGUAGAGGACUGUAGUGUGGCUUGUCUUCAAACCAAUGAGCCUGUGCUUGUCUUUCUAGUUUGGGGUACCAAGAGAUAACACAGCAAGUCAUAAAUCACCAAACAAGUGUGAUUCUUCUCAGUCCAGCUGAGGUGCAAGCUCAGUGCAACUGUGAAUUACACACACUGGAAGGAGAGUGCUAGCUGCUUUUCCAAGAGAUUCAUUCCUGCUCUCUAAUGGCUUGUUUACCUGUGGGGUUGGCUAUUUGAGGCUGAAAAUCCUCUGACGAAAAGAUAAUGGUUUCAGAUCCAUCUGUAUGAGGAGGACCUGUGUGACACCUGACACACAAUUCCAUGAGAAGUCUUUACUACUGCAAGCCUGAAAAUGAGCUCAACUCAGCAGUGAGGUCGCAGACCUUUGAUCUCUCUUGAGGAGUAUCACCCCUUUCUUGGGACUCACAAGUUGGUGUGUGAGCAAAGGUAAGCACAAAGGAUAAUGUUCUUUGGUUUGAGU